rnacentral:tRNA from 1 species
GCCCCCAUCGUCUAGUGGUUAGGACGCCUCCUUUUCACGGAGGUAACGGGGAUUCAACUUCCCCUGGGGGUA